CACUUUCGGUUCCCCAGCUGGCAGGCCAGAGCUCUGGGAAGGGGUUGGGGUGCACGUACUUGGGCUGAGGACUCAGCGCUGCUCGGGCCAGGCUCGUGGCGCCUGGGGGCAGCUACUUCCCAGGACUUCUCGGUACUUCCUGCCCUGCCGGGCACAGCGUGGUGGGGCGGGAGAGACCAACGGGUUCCUACUGCAGGAGGCGCCGCCAGCGUCCCUCGCGGCUCCCCUGCAACGAGGGGCGGGCCCGAGGGCGCCUCCCCCCUGCCCGCCGUUGGUCCGCUCCCGGAGCCAAUAGGGCGUCGCGCCCAGUGCGGGUUCGGGGGCAGAGCCCAGUGCGGAGUUUGCGCCGCGGCAGCGCGGGGCGCAGUAUGGGGCAGUGUCAGUGACCGCGCGGAGAGCGCUGCUGCGGCCAACCCGCCUCCGCCAGGCCAGCGUCCCUCCUCCCGCGGCUGCAAAGUUCACUCUCCCCGCGGGUCCCAGGGCGACUGCCGCUCCCUCCCCCCGCCAGGAGCCGGCGGCUCGUUUCCUCUUUCGCUCCUCGCCCGCCUCUCUCUGAUCGCAGUCGCCGAGCAGCAGCAGCCCCAGCAGCGAGCGCUUCGCUUCGCGCGGUCCGGCGAGGGAGCUUCCCACCCCGGCAGCCGGAGCGCGGCGAGACCAGCCCAGCCCCAGGACCUGGCAAGUGAAUGCCUCUGAAUUGCUCUGAGGAGAUUCAAGAUAAGAGGUAAGGGUGUUUUUUUCUUCCUCCCCUCCUCCCCCAGCUUCUGCCCCAUUCAAGGCACCCAAUGAUAUGAAAGAACAGAAAAUGUAAGCCUCAAAACUUGGCUUGCAGCAAGUACUAAUUCUCUGCAUUGAGCCAAAUUUGGGGUCACACUUAUGGUCAGG
ensembl:lncRNA